GACGAACGCUGGCGGCGUGCUUAACACAUGCAAGUCGAGCGAUGAAGCUUGGUGCUUGUACCAUGCUCGAGUGCCGCGCACGGGUGUGUAACGCGUGUGGCCUCUGCUUUUCAGUGGGGGACAUCCUUUGGACACGAACGCUAAUACCGCAUAACCACUUUAAACAUAGGUUUUAAUUUUGAAAGAUGCAAUUGCAUCACGCAAAGAUGACCUCGCGGUGUAUUAGCUAGUUGGUGAGGUACAAGCGCACCAAGGCGAUGAUACGUAGCCGACCUGAGAGGGUGGUCGGCCACAUUGAGACGGAGACACGGCCCAAACUCCCACGGGAGGCAGCAGUAGGGAAUCGUCAGCCAGAGGCGAGAGUCAGAGCGCGCUACGCCGAGUGAGUGAGGAGGGUUGUCGGAUCGGAGAACUCUGUUGGUAGGGAAUAACGUUGGUGAGAGUGGAAAGCUCAUCAAGUGACGGUAACUAGCCAGAAAGCGACGGCUAACUACGUG
rnacentral:rRNA from 1 species